rnacentral:rRNA from 1 species
GAUGAACGCUGGCGGCGUGCCUAAUACAUGCAAGUCGAGCGAACGGACGAGAAGCUUGCUUCUCUGAUGUUAGCGGCGGACGGGUGAGUAACACGUGGAUAACCUACCUAUAAGACUGGGAUAACUUCGGGAAACCGUAGCUAAUACCGGAUAAUAUUUUGAACCGCAUGGUUCAAAAGUGAAAGACGGUCUUGCUGUCACUUAUAGAUGGAUCCGCGCUGCAUUAGCUAGUUGGUAAGGUAAUGGCUUACCAAGGCAACGAUGCAUAGCCGACCUGAGAGGGUGAUCGGCCGCAAUGGAACUGAGACACGGUCCCGACGCCUACGGGAGGCAGCAGUAGGGAGUCUUCCGCCAUGGGCGAAAGAAUGACGGAGCAACGCCGCGUGAGUGAUGAAGGUCUUCGGAUCGUAAAACUCUGUUAUUAGGGAAGAACAUAUGUGUAAGUAACUGUGCACAUCUUGACGGUACCUAAUCAGAAAGCCACGGCUAACUACGUG